CACCGCGGUUAUACGAGAGGCCCAAGUUGAUAGCCUAACGGCGUAAAGCGUGGUUAGAGAAAUUAAAAUACUGGAAUCAAACACUCCCAAAGCUGUUAUAAGCAUAUGAGAAUACGAAGCCCACCCACUAAAGUGAUUCCACCAAUCCCCGACCCCACGAAAGCUACAAAA
rnacentral:rRNA from 1 species